rnacentral:lncRNA from 1 species
UGGAGGGUCACCAAAUCUAAGGGGGAAUGGUGGAAGGGGGUGACAGCGGGCUACGAGCCGAGUUCUUGAAAAGCUCUUUUUUGUGAUAUGGUGAGGAGACUGCGGAGAGGGGCACAGGAAGAGUUAUUGAUAUUCCCCGCUGUCGGUGCCUUGGGAACUGCCGAAUAAGAAGUGGAGGAGACAAGGAGAUCAGGCGGCGCAGGCUUUUCUCGGGUAUGGCAGGCAACCGCGCGCUAGAACAGGCCCCGCAAUAACUUCCCAACAUCCCAUCCCGUCCCGUCCAGCUGCUGUUCACUUCAAUUUUUAAUCACAUCC